CCUACGGGUGGCAGCAGUGAGGAAUAUUGGUCAAUGGGCGCGAGCCUGAACCAGCCAAGUCGCGUGAGGGAAGACGGCCCUACGGGUUGUAAACCUCUUUUGCCGGGGAGCAACGGGCGCCACGUGUGGCGCCACGGAGAGGACCCGGAGAAAAAGCAGCGGCUAACUCCGUGCCAGCAGCCGCGGUAAUACGGAGGAUGCGAGCGUUAUCCGGAUUUAGUGGGUUUACAGGGUGCGUAGGCGGAGCGUUAAUUCAGUGGUCAACUUGAGGGGCUCAACCCCUUCCCGCCAUUGAAACGGGCAGUCUUGCGUACAGUAGAGGUGGGCGGAUUUCGUGGUGUCGCGGU
rnacentral:rRNA from 1 species